AAGCAUGGAGACAUGCGUGCUUGGUAUUGCAUUGAAAGACAGAACGCGGAAUACAUGGAUUAGCGAACAUGUGCAGAUUAUUGACAUAAUUAAAAAUGUUAAGAAAACGAAGUGGGCUUGCAUAGCGCAACAUUUGCGAGAAGGGAUGAGAUCUGAUGGUCAGGAAUAAUGAUGAUAGACUAGCAGCCAAUGAAUGGAAUGGCGUCAACCGAGGAGCUGUAGCGAUGAAAGCCGUCGGUGUGCAGGCGCUGGGCGGAUUACUGCUUCAUAGCUUGGGUGAGACCUUCAUCCAGCAGUGGACUGACCAGGCCUGAUGAUGAUGAUGAUAUUAAUGAUUUAAUUAUUAUGUAGGGUAAACACCGGAUGUUAUUACUAUCCAUUACAACCCCAUCUUUGAACCGAAUUUCUAUGUAACACAUGGAUGGUCAUCUCUCUGUAUGUCCCAGCAGAGGCAGGUGAAGCGGGCACGGCUCAGGCCUCCGGCUGUGCCGCGGGGUGCCUCCUGGCACCGGCUCAGGCGUGCCCACCACCACCACGCACGCCGCCCAAAACUGGCAAAUGCAUCUAUUUCAUCCCCUUUGUUUGCACCGCAGCGUUGGCUGUGGCUGGCCUCUUCUUGUCGGCUCUUCUCGCCUACAAAUAUUUUCAUGCGCAGAAAAGCUUAAGGGCGCAAGUCAAAGAAUCUGCCAGACAAGUUCUUGAAACCAAAUCUAAACAUCUUUAUACCCACCUUGAAAAACAACAGCAAGAUUGUUCAGCCUAUGAAUCAAUUAGAGGCCAGCAUUUGUAAUAACCGCUGAUUGUUUGAACUGUUCAAUAUACAGAACCAUAUGUUUACCAUACUAGUUUGCCAAUAUGAACACAUUAUGCUUCUCGUAUUGCAAAGUAUUUCCAUUAUAAAUGUUCAUAUCAAGUCAUGAAUCACAUUUUAUAAUGCCCGGUUAUGAGGGUUGCCACCUUUUACACAGACUAAACCCACACAAAUUUCCAAGUCAGCCUACCUAGGUCUAUUGUCAUAACUUUGCAGUAUCCUGGAAUUAAAUUCAUCACAAUAAUACGACCAGAUCUCUGUACAAUUAAAUUCCUGCCACCGGCACAGAGAUGCCAAUUCCUGGAUUACCCAGGUCACACCCAAACGAAGCAACCCGAGUGGGUGAGUGAGUGAGAGGAUAGCUACCUCUUCCACAGACAAAACCAGAGCAUAAGAAUAGGUUUUACCCUUUCGGGCAAUAAAACAGGAGGUGUUAAGAUGUUAAAAC